GGGGCCAUAGCUCAGUUGGGAGAGCGCCGCCUUUGCAAGGCGGAGGCCGCCGGUUCGAGCCCGGCUGGCUCCAUCA
rnacentral:tRNA from 1 species